UUUUGUUUAAGGGACUUCCACGUCUGAUUCCUGGCUCUCCUAGACAUCCUGCUUAGGUUACCCAUAGUAGUUUGUUACUUCAGAUGAAGAAAACUGAUUGAUACGAGCAGCUAAAAGUAAAAACAACAACAACAAAGCUCUACUGGCAUUUAACCAUCAAAAUAUUCCUGACCUCUAGACUGAUGCUUUACGCACUGUGACAGACCAGGUGUUCCACCAACAGCUCGACUGCAACCCCAUGAGAGACCUGUGGCCAGAGCCACCCUGCUCAGCUGCCCCGAGAGUCACGACCCUCAGGACUAUGCGAGACAGUCGGUGCUUGUUCUUCCUAACAACGAGGUCUUGGGUCUGCAAUCAAUCUGGAGGAAAGUAUCUCUACGGAUAUUUGGUUGAGUCCAAAGGCAACUCUUGUCUGACAUACUCAAGAUCCCCAAAGCGUAAGUAGUUCUAAUUCAUAAUCUGCAUCCGUAUUUUCAGCUUCAAGAUCCUAGAUUCAGGAAAAUGAAAUAUAGACCUCUCAGGACUCUCUAACUCCUAUUUGUAAAAGCCCAUGGGACGGGGUAAUUCCCAAUGUGAACAAAAUUACAUUGCCUUUGAUAUGUAUAUCCUGAGAUGGUGCUGGCCUAUUAGCACGCUGAACUCAGUUUAUGUUUCAAAUAACAAAGAAAUUAUAAUGCAAGUACUGAACGAACCACGUAACACUCCACGGGAAUUUAGGAUCCCUAGUGUUUCCAGUUGUUAUCAUUGCAAAAGAGAAUUCACACAGGAGUUAAACCUGCGCUUAUUAAGCAAUUCUUUUGAAAAACAGAAACUUCAGAUUAUGUGAAAUGGCUCAAUCUUCUGACAUACAGGGUUCUUACUUUUCCAGUCCAAAGAUAAAUCCAUUCUGUGGAGCGUAAUAUGUGUAAAAUAGAGAAAUAAUUCAGAUUUUGGACAGUUGGUAGGAGGCUCAAAGCAACUUUGUUGGCUUAAAUGGAUGAUGAUCUCUAGUUUUUGUUA